rnacentral:rRNA from 1 species
GAUAAACGCUAGCGGCAGGCUUAACACAUGCAAGUCGAGGGGCAGCAUAGAUUGUAGCAAUACAAUUGGUGGCGACCGGCGCACGGGUGCGUAACGCGUAUGCAACCUACCCGUCACAGGGGGAUAAUCCGGAGAAAUCUGGUCUAAUACCCCAUAACAUAUGGAUCGGCAUCGGUUCAUGUUGAAAUUUUCGGAGGUGACGGAUGGGCAUGCGUAGCAUUAGCUUGUUGGUGAGGUAACGGCUCACCCAGGCGACGAUGCUUAGGGGGACCGAGAUGUUUUCCCCCCACACUGGUACUGAAACACGGACCAGACUCCUACGGGAGGCAGCAGUGAGGAAUAUUGGUCAAUGGGCGCAAGCUUGAACCAGCCAUGCCGCGUGCAGGAUGACGGCUCUAUGAGUUGUAAACUGCUUUUGUACGAGGGUAAAGUGGGUUACGUGUAACCUUUUGAAAGUAUCGUACGAAUAAGGAUCGGCUAACUCCGUGCCAGCAGCCGCAGUAA